CCAAAGAGAAGGAAGGGAGAGAAGAGGGGCUAGUGUACCUGAUCAGGCAGAACCAGCCGGCUCCUGAUUACGACACCAUUUUCUCAGCAGGUUUCUCAGCCUCAUCCUGCUUCUGUGAAUAUGGAGCACGGGGCCAGCCAAUCCCCUCGGCGCUGCCUCUCGUCUAAUGGCAGAAUUAAGACCGUUUAGAGUGAUUUCCUCUGCCUUCAUGGUCGCACUCUGAAAGAGACGAAUCUUUUUUUUUUUUUCUUUUGCGCCGAUUUACAAUGUGGGGGGUCCGGCAUGCAACGGGUGAGAGGAAAAGUUCUACAUGACUGAACAUAACACUACAACAGGUGGGGAAACGAACCGAGUCUGAGAGCGAUUUCACUUGGCAUUUGCCUCCGUGUUUUGCGUUGAACCCUCGGUUCAGUUCCGAGGGAAAAGUUCACCUUCUCAGCACACUUACCUUCGUGUGGGUUUGUUAGUACACAAGCAGCUUUUUCAGGGGACCCUCGAACACACGACCACGAUGCUCCGCCUGUUGUCUCCGUCACUGUGCAUUUGGUUCUGAACACGUAGAUGUAAAUCUGUAAUUCCAAUAAGCGAAGCUACUGGGUUGAUCACACGAAAGCUUUUAUUUUAACCGCUUCAUAGAGUUCUUCUGUUACAACACUAAAUGCGUUGUGUCUGCACGUCGUUUGAGGAGGUUUUAAAUAAAGAUCCUCUAAAUAUGACAGUAACUUUACAGAAGAUUGAGGCUGAACAAACAGUUCACAACGCAUUCAUUAGGAAAGAUAUAUUGAAUAACUGGACCGCAACCAUUGAUGCAUUCGACUUAACAGAUAAAAGCUUCAUCCAGAAGAUUUUUCUGAAUUCCCUUUCGAUGCUUAAAAAUAUUUUGUCAUUAAUAAAUCUAAAAACAUUAUAAAAAUGACACCAUGUUGAUUUAAUGUAAUGAGAUCAGUUUUACUUUAUUGAGACACUUAAUGUCACACCUCUUCUCGUAGAAAUCUUGACCAACUUUGGGCUGAUUUCUAAAAUUGCACAAAGAUCAGGAAACAUUUAUUGUCAAAAUAAAUGUUGACCUUUCUGAACCACCUGGUUUUCGUGGGACAGUUGAGAGUUGUGAAUGCUCGAUACAUGUAAUCCCUGAAUGGAAAUAAGGCUGCCAAAGGUUGAAAGCUGAUCGUGCGUCAGAUAAAACUGAUUCGUAAUGACACCAACCCAAACAGGGUGUAAAUCUGGACGCAAAUCUGCUUAAACUCACUCCUCCUUUGUCAAACUGCAUUACGUCAAGCACAUCACUCCGACUAUAACAUAGCGCCAUAUCAAACAACCGCAGUUGGAACCUGUUGCCUUUGUGUUCCCUUUUCUUAAUGAUUCCCCCACUCCCCCCCCCCCCCAACCUCCGGCAGACAAAUCCUUCAGCUUUAUUGCCCGGACUCAAGGGCUGCAGGUGCACAGGCCACAAAAGGGAGAGGAGGGGAGGGGGUUGGAGGAAGGGUAAGGAAAGAGAAUGGUCAGCCGGGAGAUAAGAGAGGACCUUUGCACCCGCCCAUCCUCACCCCGGACCCGGCCUUUACCCCUGCAACACCUCUCCGUUUGGCUCCACUGCUUCGCCACACGUGACAGGGGAAGGCAAACGGCGAGUGGUGCCGCCUGGCGCUACCAGGCUUCUGUGUGUGUGUGUGUGUGUGUGUGUGUGUGUGUGUGUGUGUGUGUGUGUGUGUGUGUGUGGCAGGGGACGGGGCAGGCGUGGCAGAGUGGCCAAGUGGCUGCAGCGGCCCUUUUCUUCUAGAGCAGCAGAGGAGCAGUAAUGACUAGGAGCUACAGCUGUGCCCACUGAGGCUUGCCUACACCUUUCCCUGCAGCGGCCCCUCCACCUCAUCUCGCCUCUGGCCUCCGCCGCCGAGGGAGGGAAGCUACGGAGUGGGAGGGUUCCGUCUUUUACUCCUACUUGCUCUACAACAGAACUAUGAAGAAUAGGAUCCGUCCUCAAGGCGACAGUCCAAAACGGAAACGCACAAGGAGCAAGACUGUGGGUUCAGCGUCUUGCUCAAGGACACUUGGACGAAUGUGGCCGAACCUUGUGAUUAAGGGCAGACCCGCUCUGCAACGAGUCACAGCACCAAACUCUGAGUUUGUUGUAUUUGAGUUUAUCACUGUCCCUUAAUCUAAGGGGAAAUUAAGUGAAAGUUAUCUGAUUCAAUCUGGUGUGUAUAUGUGUGUGUUAUAAAAACUAAUUGUGUUCAAAGUGUUA